rnacentral:rRNA from 1 species
UUCGUAGGGGGCGAGCGUUAUCCGGAUUCACUGGGUGUAAAGGGAGCGUAGACGGCCAAGCAAGCCAGGGGUGAAAGCCCGGGGCCCAACCCCGGGACUGCCCUUGGAACUGCAUGGCUGGAGUGCGGGAGGGGCAGGCGGAAUUCCUGGGGUAGCGGUGAAAUGCGUAGAUAUCAGGAGGAACACCGGCGGCGAAGGCGGCCUGCUGGACCGCGACUGACGUUGAGGCUCGAAAGCGUGGGGAGCGAACAGG